GGGUUGUGAGGUUAAGCGACUAAGCGUACACGGUGGAUGCCCUGGCAGUCAGAGGCGAUGAAGGACGUGCUAAUCUGCGAUAAGCGCCGGUAAGGUGAUAUGAACCGUUAUAACCGGCGAUUUCCGAAUGGGGAAACCCAGUGUGACUCGUCACACUAUCAUUAACUGAAUCCAUAGGUUAAUGAGGCGAACCGGGGGAACUGAAACAUCUAAGUACCCCGAGGAAAAGAAAUCAACCGAGAUUCCCCCAGUAGCGGCGAGCGAACGGGGAGGAGCCCAGAGCCUGAAUCAGCAUGUGUGUUAGUGGAAGCGUCUGGAAAGGCGCGCGAUACAGGGUGACAGCCCCGUACACAAAAGCGCAUGUGCUGUGAGCUCGAUGAGUAGGGCGGGACACGUGGUAUCCUGUCUGAAUAUGGGGGGACCAUCCUCCAAGGCUAAAUACUCCUGACUGACCGAUAGUGAACCAGUACCGUGAGGGAAAGGCGAAAAGAACCCCGGCGAGGGGAGUGAAAAAGAACCUGAAACCGUGUACGUACAAGCAGUGGGAGCACAGGUUUACCUGUGUGACUGCGUACCUUUUGUAUAAUGGGUCAGCGACUUAUAUUCUGUAGCAAGGUUAACCGAAUAGGGGAGCCGUAGGGAAACCGAGUCUUAAUUGGGCGUUAAGUUGCAGGGUAUAGACCCGAAACCCGGUGAUCUAGCCAUGGGCAGGUUGAAGGUUGGGUAACACUAACUGGAGGACCGAACCGACUAAUGUUGAAAAAUUAGCGGAUGACCUGUGGCUGGGGGUGAAAGGCCAAUCAAACCGGGAGAUAGCUGGUUCUCCCCGAAAGCUAUUUAGGUAGCGCCUCGUGAAUUCAUCUCCGGGGGUAGAGCACUGUUUCGGCUAGGGGGCCAUCCCGGCUUACCAACCCGAUGCAAACUGCGAAUACCGGAGAAUGUUAUCACGGGAGACACACGGCGGGUGCUAACGUCCGUCGUGAAGAGGGAAACAACCCAGACCGCCAGCUAAGGUCCCAAAGUCAUGGUUAAGUGGGAAACGAUGUGGGAAGGCCCAGACAGCCAGGAUGUUGGCUUAGAAGCAGCCAUCAUUUAAAGAAAGCGUAAUAGCUCACUGGUCGAGUCGGCCUGCGCGGAAGAUGUAACGGGGCUAAACCAUGCACCGAAGCUGCGGCAGCGACGCUGAUGCGUUGUUGGGUAGGGGAGCGUUCUGUAAGCCUGCGAAGGUGGCCUGUGAGGGUUGCUGGAGGUAUCAGAAGUGCGAAUGCUGACAUAAGUAACGAUAAAGCGGGUGAAAAGCCCGCUCGCCGGAAGACCAAGGGUUCCUGUCCAACGUUAAUCGGGGCAGGGUGAGUCGACCCCUAAGGCGAGGCCGAAAGGCGUAGUCGAUGGGAAACGGGUUAAUAUUCCCGUACUUGGUGUUACUGCGAAGGGGGGACGGAGAAGGCUAUGUUGGCCGGGCGACGGUUGUCCCGGUUUAAGCGUGUAGGUGUGUGUUCCAGGUAAAUCCGGUUCACUUUAACACUGAGGCGUGACGACGAGGCACUACGGUGCUGAAGCAACAAAUGCCCUGCUUCCAGGAAAAGCCUCUAAGCAUCAGGUAACACGAAAUCGUACCCCAAACCGACACAGGUGGUCAGGUAGAGAAUACCAAGGCGCUUGAGAGAACUCGGGUGAAGGAACUAGGCAAAAUGGUGCCGUAACUUCGGGAGAAGGCACGCUGACACGUAGGUGAAGUGAUUUACUCAUGGAGCUGAAGUCAGUCGAAGAUACCAGCUGGCUGCAACUGUUUAUUAAAAACACAGCACUGUGCAAACACGAAAGUGGACGUAUACGGUGUGACGCCUGCCCGGUGCCGGAAGGUUAAUUGAUGGGGUCAGCGCAAGCGAAGCUCCUGAUCGAAGCCCCGGUAAACGGCGGCCGUAACUAUAACGGUCCUAAGGUAGCGAAAUUCCUUGUCGGGUAAGUUCCGACCUGCACGAAUGGCGUAAUGAUGGCCAGGCUGUCUCCACCCGAGACUCAGUGAAAUUGAACUCGCUGUGAAGAUGCAGUGUACCCGCGGCAAGACGGAAAGACCCCGUGAACCUUUACUAUAGCUUGACACUGAACAUUGAGCCUUGAUGUGUAGGAUAGGUGGGAGGCUUUGAAGUGUGGACGCCAGUCUGCAUGGAGCCGACCUUGAAAUACCACCCUUUAAUGUUUGAUGUUCUAACGUGGACCCGUUACCCGGGUUGCGGACAGUGUCUGGUGGGUAGUUUGACUGGGGCGGUCUCCUCCUAAAGAGUAACGGAGGAGCACGAAGGUUGGCUAAUCCUGGUCGGACAUCAGGAGGUUAGUGCAAUGGCAUAAGCCAGCUUGACUGCGAGCGUGACGGCGCGAGCAGGUGCGAAAGCAGGUCAUAGUGAUCCGGUGGUUCUGAAUGGAAGGGCCAUCGCUCAACGGAUAAAAGGUACUCCGGGGAUAACAGGCUGAUACCGCCCAAGAGUUCAUAUCGACGGCGGUGUUUGGCACCUCGAUGUCGGCUCAUCACAUCCUGGGGCUGAAGUAGGUCCCAAGGGUAUGGCUGUUCGCCAUUUAAAGUGGUACGCGAGCUGGGUUUAGAACGUCGUGAGACAGUUCGGUCCCUAUCUGCCGUGGGCGCUGGAGAACUGAGGGGGGCUGCUCCUAGUACGAGAGGACCGGAGUGGACGCAUCACUGGUGUUCGGGUUGUCAUGCCAAUGGCACUGCCCGGUAGCUAAAUGCGGAAGAGAUAAGUGCUGAAAGCAUCUAAGCACGAAACUUGCCCCGAGAUGAGUUCUCCCUGAGACUUAGAGUCUCCUGAAGGAACGUUGAAGACGACGACGUUGAUAGGCCGGGUGUGUAAGCGCAGCGAUGCGUUGAGCUAACCGGUACUAAUGAACCGUGAGGCUUAACCUUACAACGCCGAAG
rnacentral:rRNA from 1 species